UACGUAGGGGGCAAGCGUUGUCCGGAAUCAUUGGGCGUAAAGCGCGCGUAGGCGGCCCGGUAAGUCCGUUGUGAAAGUCAAAGGCUCAACCUUUGAACGCCGAUGGAUACUGCCGGGCUAGAGUCCGGAAGAGGCGAGUGGAAUUCCUGGUGUAGCGGUGAAAUGCGCAGAUAUCAGGAAGAACACCUAUGGCGAAGGCAGCUCUCUGGGACGGUACUGACGCUGAGACGCGAAAGCGUGGGGAGCGAACAGG
rnacentral:rRNA from 1 species